GGAGCUCGAAACGGGAUCAUCCUCAUUUAUCCCCCCCUCCCCCCAUUAUAUCACACCGGCUGGGCCCACGAGUUUAUAUGCAAUAAAAGUUAAUCAGUGUGGCCCCCACCCUGCUUCUGCCCAGGGGCAGAGGUGGCUCCCCCCUCCCCCCAGUUUGCAAAGUUUCCCCCCGAGCCGGGAACUGACCCGCGCUUCACCGCGGAGCUGAGCCUGGCCGACUCCCGGCAGCGCGGGGGACGUGUUUUCAGCGGCGCUGCGAGAAGGGCCGGCGGCUCGGCCAGCUCCGCCGCGCACGGGGCAUCUCCAGCGCCGGGCUGAGGUGUUGCUACGCGGACCGGAGUUCAAGCUCCAGCUCCCCUCCAAGCUAGAAGUGACAUUUGCAUUGGGAAAGCAGGGACUUACGGUUCCCCGGGACAGCAUUUGAACUUAAAAAACGUAACAUCGGACAAGUCUAUGUAAUAUAUAUUCAUACAGCAUCUAAAAAAGUGAGCCAAUUAUUGAAGGGAAGGUGGAGACGACGAUACACUCCGCUGUCCCAGAGAAGUGAAAGAAACCGAUCUCCUGAAGUUUUGUUGGUUGGUUGGUUGGUUGGCUGGAUUUUUUUAAAUAUAGCAGCGUGCGAUGUUGCCACUGGAACAAGAAAGUAUUUCUUAUAACAAGUAAAUAGAAGAGAAAUCAGUCCUAGCGUCCUGAACUAUCGGAGCAAUAGCCCGACUGGAUGUGAGAGGGCUGCCGGGCGGCUGAGCAACCUGCGGUCCACGUGCCCGCGAGGUGAGGGUCUGGAGGGGGCUGCUCCACCGAGGAGAAACAAUAAAGGAAACAUCCCUUUGUGACGUGUCGCUGCCGAACCUUCUGUUUCCCGACGUUCCAGGCGCCUCAAGCUCCGGCGCGCGGGGUGAUGAUUAACUCCAUGCGGGGCCACGACACACUUACACCUCUUAGAAAAUACUGCUGGGGGACCCCACGCAAGGCGAUUGCCACCCGUUCACCAGAGCCUUGGAUCAAGACCCCAGCCGUGGGCCAGCAGUACCCGGGAUGGCUCUGGGGAGCAAAAGUGCCUCCAGCCUCCGGAGAGCCCGAGCCUGCGAGCCUGGGAGGUGCGACAUUCAGCAGGUCGGCGCCCGAAAGAGCCCAGUCUGCUGCAGCUCGGGUCUGUGAUGCACACUCAGCCCGGCUCUGCACGGCAGCAAGGCUCUCCCAUUGCCCAGAUCAGACGCUCAUUGCAGUUUAGCCCCGUGUUGGUUUCAGAUGUUGCUGCCAAGAUACCCCGGGAGAGGCAGCCUGACGCCGGGAGAGCAGUUGGCAUUCAGGGCACCGUAAAACGCUGGGAGGUUGUAUCGUCUGAGUCGGCAGUGAACUGGGUGUCACACACACACACACACACACACACACACACACACACAGACGCGCGCGCGCGCGCGCGCGCUCAUUGCACACUCAUUACAGACACACCCAGUCAUUACAUGCUCAUUACACACACGCCCAUUACACACACAUCACACACACGCUCAUUACACACGCUCAUUACAAACACAGUCAUUACACAGACUCAUUACACAGACACACACAUUCAUCAUUACACACACUUAUUACACAGACACACACUCAUUACACAUACAUAUUGCACACACAUUCUCUCACUGAUUUUAAUAAGCAUACAGGACCCGGCCUUCGAGUCCUUGGAAGUAUUUUGCCUGUAUCCAAGGAUUGUCUUGUCCUCUCAUGUCUGAUGCAUUUGGGAUAAUGGUUUUCCUUAGUGUCACUGUCCCUCUGGUCGGCGCCAGCCCGGUCUGCAGGACAAUCAGCCUUACCCCAACAGCGGAGAAGAAGAGCUGCCUCCAGACAAGACCGGAGCGCGGAGCAAACACACGCGCCGGGGCUUCCGAACAGCUUUUCAGGCUCAUGCCUAUCUCGGGGAAUUGAUUCCCAGCACUAAAAAGCACGACCC